UACGUAGGGCGCAAGCGUUAUCCGGAAUUAUUGGGCGUAAAGAGCUUGUAGGCGGUUUGUCGCGUCUGCCGUGAAAAUUCGAGGCUCAACCUCGAACUUGCGGUGGGUACGGGCAGACUAGAGUGCGGUAGGGGAGAUUGGAAUUCCUGGUGUAGCGGUGAAAUGCGCAGAUAUCAGGAGGAACACCGGUGGCGAAGGCGGGGUCUCUGGGCAGUAACUGACGCUGAGGAGCGAAAGCGUGGGGAGCGAACAGG
rnacentral:rRNA from 1 species